rnacentral:rRNA from 1 species
AUACGGAGGAUCCGAGCGUUAUCCGGAUUUAUUGGGUUUAAAGGGUGCGCAGGCGGGAGAUUAAGUCGGCGGUGAAAUUUUUCAGCUCAACUGUAAAAGUGCCUUCGAAACUGGUUUUCUUGAGUGUAGAUGAAGUAGGCGGAAUUUGUGGUGUAGCGGUGAAAUGCAUAGAUAUCACGAGGAACUCCGAUUGCGCAGGCAGCUUACUAAACUACUACUGACGCUCAGGCACGAAGGCGUGGGGAUCAAACAGGAUUAGAUACCCUGGUAGUCCACGCAGUAAACGAUGAUUGCUAGCUGUUUGCGAUACAAUGUAAGCGGCUGAGCGAAAGCGUUAAGUAAUCCACCUGGGGAGUACGUUCGCAAGAAUGAAACUCAAAGGAAUUGACGGGG